AUUGAACGCUGGCGGCAUGCCUUACACAUGCAAGUCGAACGGCAGCACGGGAGCAAUCCUGGUGGCGAGUGGCGAACGGGUGAGUAAUAUAUCGGAACGUGCCCAGUCGUGGGGGAUAACGUAGCGAAAGCUACGCUAAUACCGCAUACGAUCUAUGGAUGAAAGCGGGGGAUCGCAAGACCUCGCGCGAUUGGAGCGGCCGAUAUCAGAUUAGGUAGUUGGUGAGGUAAAGGCUCACCAAGCCGACGAUCUGUAGCUGGUCUGAGAGGACGACCAGCCAAACUGGGACUGAGACACGGGCCAGAGUCCGACGGGAGGCAGCAGUGGGGAAUUUUGGACAAUGGGCGCAAGCCUGAUCCAGCAAUGCCGCGUGCAGGAUGAAGGCCUUCGGGUUGUAAACUGCUUUUGUACGGAGCGAAAAGGCUUCCACUAAUACUGGGGGCUCAUGACGGUACCGUAAGAAUAAGCACCGGCUAACUACGUGCCAGCCGCCGCGGUAA
rnacentral:rRNA from 1 species